UCAAAGGAUUUUUUUAAAAAUCCACAAAUCUUUCAUUUGAAAAUUUAU
rfam:Musca domestica strain aabys unplaced genomic scaffold Scaffold18707, whole genome shotgun sequence.